AAUCAACGCUGGCGGCGUGCCUCAGACAUGCAAGUCGAACGAUUAAAGCUCUCUUCGGAGAGUGCAUAGAGUGGCGCACGGGUGAGUAACACGUAAGUAAUCUACCUUCGAGUGGGGAAUAACGUCCGGAAACGGACGCUAAUACCGCAUAAUGCAGCGGCAUCGCAAGAUGACAGUUGUUAAAGGAGCAAUUCGCUUGAAGAGGAGCUUGCGGCAGAUUAGCUUGUUGGUAAGGUAACGGCUUACCAAGGCUACGAUCUGUAACCGGUCUAAGAGGACGGUCGGUCACACUGACACUGAAUAACGGGUCAGACCCCUACGGGAGGCAGCAGUCGGGAAUUUUGGGCAAUGGGGGAAACCCUCGACCCAGCAACGCCGCGUGAAGGAUGAAGUAUUUCGGUAUGUAAACUUCGAAAGAAUAGGAAGAAUAAAUGACGGUACUAUUUAUAAGGUCCGGCUAACUACGUGCCAGCAGCCGCUGUAAC
rnacentral:rRNA from 1 species